rnacentral:tRNA from 2 species
ACUGAUGUAGCUCAGACGGGUAGAGCAUCGGACUGAUAAUCCGACGGUCGAGGGUUCAACUCCCUCCAUCACGG